GACGGAGGAUGCAAGUGUUAUCCGGAAUCACUGGGCGUAAAGCGUCUGUAGGUCGUUCAAUAAGUCAACUGUUAAAUCUUGAGGCUAACUUCAAAAUCGCAGUCGAAACUAUUAAACUAGAGUAUAGUAGGGGUAAAGGGAAUUUCCAGUGGAGCGGUGAAAUGCGUAGAGAUUGGAAAGAACACCAAUGGCGAAAGCACUUUAUGUGGCUAUUACUGACACUGAGAGACGAAAGCUAGGGUAGCAAAUGGG
rnacentral:rRNA from 1 species